GGCCCAGUGGAAGUUAUGGACCACCACAAUGAACAUUUUGACAUCUACUUUCUACAUAUUUGUGCAUAAUUUUUCCCCCUUUUUUUCACUUUACCCACACACAAAAAAUUCCCCAAAAAAUCAUGUAAAUCCGAA
ensembl:snoRNA Y76B12C.11 ncRNA